rnacentral:lncRNA from 1 species
UCCAGUAUCUAUGGGAGUACUGAAUUUUCCUUCUGUAUCUUAAGGGAGAUGAUGCCCAGGGAUGAUCUCUGCUCUCUGUGAGUACUUCUGCACUAGCAAACUUCAAAGUGCCCAUGACCCAGAGAUCUCAGAUGCAAAUCUGCUUCUCUUUGAAGCUGGACAGAAAAGAGGAAGAGAAAUGAAAAACAGCCCAGAAGAGUUUUUGAGGGACAUACUCUGCUUCUCCUCAUUUUUUGGGCAGGAGUGCUUCCUGGAGCUGUGA